GGAGAAGAUGUCAGUAGUUUCCAUCCUCGGUCGGUCAGCGCUCGUUUGUUGGGAGAUUUGAGCCUGUCACUGUAAGACAAUCACAAUCACACCUUCAGUGAAGCUCCUCCCACAACAAACACACCUUCAAUGAAGCUCCUCCCACAACAAUCACACGUUCAGUAAAGCUCCUCCCACAAAAAAUAUCACAUCUUCAGUGAAGCUCCUCCCACAACAAACACACCUUCAAUGAAGCUCCUCCCACAACAAUCACACGUUCAGUAAAGCUCCUCCCACAACAAAAUCACAUCUUCAGUGAAGCUCCUCCCACAACAAUCUCGCCUUCAGUGAAGCUCCUCCCACAACAAUCUCACCUUCAGUGAAGCUCCUCCCACUGCGGUUCAGUAAUAAAUGCUGGAAUAUUCCCAUCAGUCUACAAGUCAAGACGAGGAUCAGAGAAUCAGGAAGAAGAGAAAUCUGCAGAAACAGAGAGAACAUGAGAGAUCCAGAACCCUGCAGAAUGAAACACACUGAAGAACAAACAGAACCGAUUAAACAAAACGAGAACAACGAAAUUAAUGAAGAGGAGGAGAAACAUCACGUCGAAAAAGCUUUGAGUCGCUCUCAAACCAAACAGAAUUGUUUAAAGAAAAGGAGAGAUGGUAAAUCUUUCACCUGCACUCAGUGUGGAAAGAGUUUGAAACGUGAACAGAAUCUCAAGAUUCACAUGAGGAGCCACACUGGAGAGAAACCAUACAAGUGCUCACACUGCGACAUGAGAUUCAGUCAGUCAGACACCCUGAAAACACACGAGAGGAUCCACACCGGAGAGAAACCAUACACAUGUGAUCAGUGCGGGAAGAGUUUCAGACAAAAACCUCAUUUUAUGGCACACAUGAGAGUUCACACGGGAGAGAAACCGUUCACUUGUGAUCUGUGCGGGAAGAGUUUUACGCAAUCAACAACCCUUAAGAAACACAUGAACAUCCACUCUGGAGAGAAACCGUUCACGUGUGAUCAGUGCGGGAAGAGUUUUAUACAGUCAGCAACCCUUAAGGAUCACAUGAUCAUCCACACCGGAGAGAAAGUGCAUGAAUGUGACGAGUGCCGCAAAACAUUUCUGAGGGCUUCAAACCUGAAGAGUCACCUGAAAGUUCAUUUAAAGGAGAAACCACAUUCGUGUUCUUUGUGCGGACGGACUUUUUCACACCAGCAAAAUUUAAAAAUACAUCAGAAGAGACAUAGCGGUGUGAGAGAUUUCGUGUGCUUCGAGUGUGGGAAGACUUUCAUUACGGCAGAAGAACUGAAACUGCACCAGAAGAUCCACACUGGAGAGAAACCUUACAAGUGUUCACACUGCGACAAGAGAUUCAUUCGGCCGGCACAACUUAAAUCACAUGAGAGGAUUCACACUGGAGAGAGACCAUAUCACUGCACCGCAUGCGGGAAGAGUUACACUCAUUCAUCCUCUCUUUGCACACAUACGAAAAACAAUCACAGUCAGUAGAUCAUCUUCAUCCAAUUUUUUUUAAUGGAAUAGUAAGUUUCCUUGCAGCUUCCUCUAUGUUGACAGUGAACAGACUAUAAAGUGAAUGAAUCUAACUCUACAAGAACAGUCUGGCUCUUCUGACUCACAACCUUUAACACUAGGACGCGGCAUCACGUUAUGAUCAUACCAUGCACCUGGAGAACAUGGAGUUGAUCGAGAUUAUAGCGCUCUAAAUACAUUAAAAGUUUUAAAAACACAAACUCACCGGCAAGACACCACAAGCAGAACAAAACUAAUUGGAGAAACAUUUUCUUUGCUGUUUCGCUGAAAACCCCACUCAAGACUGAAGUGUGAUAUUUAUCUGCUUAAAUCUGCUCUCGACAGGAUUCUCACGUCUCAGUUUCCUUUGUCGGAGGAAGUCAUCAAAAUACUCAAGGUUUUGCUGAUUCUCACUUUUUAAAGUGGAUUUAGGCCCAGCACAGGGUUGGACUGUUUUUUCAGUGGGCCGAUACACUUCUGGGUCAGUACAAUUUUUUAUUUCCACCAAGGACCAGCCCAUCAUUCAGGGACAACGGCCCAUCAGAAAGCACUAUAUAGACGGAGUGAUAAGGGAUCUUAUGGACAGAUCAAGGCGAAACCUUCUGAGAAGCUCAGAGAUGCCGCGAAACGUGCCUCGUCUUCGUCAAUUACGAAGUUUACACAACGUCUUAUUAUACUUUACUACUCCAAUUUUAUACUGUCCUGUGCUUUAACACAAUAUGUACUGGUGAAAGCGGUAUAUAAAUAAAGGUGAUUGAUUGAUUGACAUCACCCCAGCUGUACAGUAGGGACACCUGCCUGUCCCAGGAAGAACAUCAUCUGUUCCUCAAAAGUUUUUGGGUCCUGCUGCAGAUGAAGGCUGUCAGUAUGUGACUGGAAUCGUGGGUAAAAACCUGUUACUCCUGAGAGAACUGAAUCUGAGUGAACAUGAACUAGAAGACACACGAGUGAAUCAGAUCUCUGCUCUACUGCAGGAUAAACACUGUCAGAUCAACACACUGAAGUAAUGUACUCGAUUUCACAAUGUCACACGCUGCUGAGAAUAAUUAAGCCAAGCAUCUUCUCAAUAGACAUCAAGACAUCGAGACAUCAACGUGUCAAAAAGUGUGACGUUAACACAGCGUAGAUUUUAAACAUAGCAGACAAAAAUCAUGCGAGAAGGCUCAACAUUUACCAGUUUCACUUGCAUUUAUAAUUAACAGAUGCUAGUAUCGUCUUCUAUCAUGUAAAACUCUAAAAUAAACACUAAAAGUCUGCAGUUUUAUGGCACUUCAAAACUAAUUUCCCCUUACUGUCACAGACUGGUAUAUAUUUGUAUAUAUUUAUAUAUUUUUGUAUAGUUUUCUGUACUGUAUACUAUUUUGUGUAAGGGUAAAGUAAGUUGUGAUGUGGUCUAAGCAUUUGAAAGUUGUAGAGUGUUUCUUGUUGCUGAUAGAGCAUAUCAAAAUAACAUGUUUUCCAAUAAGCCUGUAUAGGUCAUUUGGACAAAUCCCUGAAAUACGACCCAUCAUAGCAUUGCGCCACCCCUACACUGUUUGGUACCAUUUUAUCUGCGUCGUAAUUUGUGCCUUGUGUAGCUUAGUCUGUAAAGCAUUGCGUUAUACGAUGAGACGUGAUCCUGCAAGCAUGGGUUCAAGCUCAUGAAGCUUAAUAAAUAGAAUUAAGUGCGGUCAUUCACAAAAUAUAAUUAAACAAAAAAGGCGAUAUUACUUUCGAGUCAAUGAGUUCGCCUAUUAGUGGUAUGAAAGGAGCACAGCUUUCACUCGCAGCCAAACUAACGCUACUAGCCAAUCAUUUUGCUCAAACACAAGACACGUAUAGUAGGCUAUAUUUAAGAGCAGAGUCGCAAGAAAAACUAUGUUUUAUCUCCUCUGUGUAUUAAACCUUUGCAAACACAGGAGUAUACAUCAGCCUAUUUCUAAUCUAUUUAAUAUGCCAUUUAUUGUAUUUUAUAUUUUUGUACAUUGAUAUAGUUUGCAUAUGGCCAUAUAUUAAAAUGACAUGCAUUUAAACAUUUCAUCAUGGCAAAGCAUGACAGCAAACUCUGCAGGCAUUUGUUAUAAUACAUAAUGUAAUUAAGUUUUUUGUUUUUUGUUCAUAUCAUAUAUAGGUAUUUCACAUUAUGUAUUUUAACAGUGUUGUUCAUUUAAAUGUAAUUACUUGGUUUUGAUAUUUUAUGCGCCAAUUAUUACUACCUUAUCAUUAGUCAUACUAAAGUUAUUAAGUUAGGCCUCGUGUUACUAAAAAUCUGUAUAUUUGGUAGGUUACUUGAUUACCAAAAUAAUCAUAGUUACAGCCCUAGAUUAGUUAAUAUAUUUCUGUCACGAUUUCCGUGGUUUCGCGGGAGAGAAAAGGAGUGCUCGAGACUCGAAAAUACAAAAACUUAAACAGAUUUAAUUCAAAACUGGUAAAAGUAUAUACAAAAGGCAGGUAGAACAAAAACCACGAAAAGGAGCUCGGGAAACAAAACAGAGUUACGUUGAAACAUUGAAACAUGGUAACGUUGAUGAUCCGACAACGUGCACACAACACACAGGGCUUAAAUACAAAGGGAAAUUAACUAAAUUAACGAGACAAGGCUGAAGACAAUUAAACAAUUAAACACCAAGGGGAAGGCA